AUACGGAGGGGGCUAGCGUUGUUCGGAUUUACUGGGCGUAAAGCGCGCGUAGGCGGUAUAUCAAGUUAGGCGUGAAAGGCCUGGGCUCAACCCGGGAACUGCGCUUAAUACUGGUAGACUUGAGUCCGGGAGAGGGUGGCGGAAUUCCCAGUGUAGAGGUGAAAUUCGUAGAUAUUGGGAAGAACACCAGUGGCGAAGGCGGCCACCUGGCCCGGUACUGACGCUGAGGUGCGAAAGCGUGGGGAGCAAACAGGAUUAGAAACCCCAGUAGUCC
rnacentral:rRNA from 1 species